rnacentral:tRNA from 1 species
UAUCUUGUAUUUUAAAAUAAAAUUUCUUAUUGCAAGUAAGAAGAAGCUUUUUUAGCCAAGAUUU